rnacentral:rRNA from 1 species
UACGUAGGUGGCAAGCGUUGUCCGGAUUUACUGGGCGUAAAGGGUGUGUAGGCGGUUGUUUAAGUUUGGUGUGAAAUCUCCCGGCUCAACUGGGAGGGUGCGCCGAAUACUGAAUGACUAGAGUGUGGGAGAGGUGAGUGGAAUUCCUGGUGUAGCGGUGAAAUGCGUAGAUAUCAGGAGGAACACCGGUGGUGUAGACGGCUCACUGGACCAUAACUGACGCUGAGACACGAAAGCGUGGGUAGCAAACAGG